GGCUGUGGGGCGUGGCGCUCGCUGUCCGGGCACAGGACAGAGCGCAGGUUCGAUUCCUGCCGCAGCCUCCA
rnacentral:tRNA from 1 species